GCAAUCUUGGCUCACUGCAAGCUCCGCCUCCCGGGUUCACACCAGGCUGUCGCCCAGGCUGGAGUGUAGUGGCGCAAUCUCGGCUCACUGCAGCCUCCGCCUCCUGGGUUCAGACGAUUCUCCUGCUGCAGCCUCCCGAGUAGCUGGGAUUACAGGCGCCCACCACCACACCCGGCUAAUUUUUGUACUUUUAGUAGAGAUGGGGUUUCACCAUGUUGGCCAGGCUGGUCUUGAACUCCUGACCUCAUGAUCUGCUCGCCUUGGCCUCCCAAAGUGCUGGGAUUACAGGCGUGAGCCACUGCACCCGGCCAAUAAUUAUUAUUCUAACUUUAGUAUAUGUGUUGGCAAAGCGAGCACUAUUCUUCUAGAUAAGUAAAUUGUUCGGAUCACUAAAGGAUAACUCUUCUAGCACCAAAAUACACUGAAUUUUAACUCUGAGUUAUCUAUUUAUUUUUUUGAGACCAAGUCUCCCUCCGUUGCCCAAGCUGGAGUGCAGUGGCACAAUCUCAGCUCACUGCAACCUCCGCCUCCUGGGUUCAAGCGAUUCUCCUGCCUCAGCCUCCUGAGUAGUUGGGAUUACAGGCACACGCCACCAUGCCUGGCUAAUUCUUUUUUGUAUUUUUAGUAGAGAUAAGGUUUCACCAUGUUGGCCAAACUGGUCUCGAACUCCUGACCUCAGGUGAUCCACUUGCCUCGGCCUCCCAAAGUGCUGGGAUUACAGGCAUGAGCCACCGUGCCCGGCUGAAUUAAAUAUUUCUAAUGAUAACGUACCACCUCUCUGCCUUCCUAAAUAGUUUUUUGUUUGUUUGUUUGUUUUUUGUUUUUUUUUGAGACAGUUUCCCUCUUGUUGCUCAGGCUGGAGUGCAAUGGCGCAAUCUUGGCUCACUGCAAUCUCCACCUCCCACGUUUAAGCGAUUCUCCUGCCUCAGCCUCCCGAGUAGCUGGGAUUACAGACAUGUGCCACCAUGCCCGGCUAAUUUUGUAUUUUUAGCAGAGAUGGGAUUUCUCCAUGUUAGUCAGGCUGGUCUCGAACUCCCGACCUCAGGUGAUCCGCCUGCCUCAGCCUCCCAAAGUGCUGGGAUUACAGGCGUAAGCCACGGUGCCCGGCCCUUCCUAAAUAGUUUAUUUAACCUUUCCUUGAUAAUCUGAGAUCAUCAUCAUUAAUCAUUUUGUUUAUUUGUCACCCAGGUUGGAGUGCAGUGGCACAAUCAUGGCUCACUGCAGCCUUGACCUCCCCGGGCUUAGGUGAUCCUCCCAUCUCAGCCUCCCAAGUAGCUGGGACUAUAGGUAUGCACCACCACACCUGGCUAAUUUUUGUAUUUUUUGUAGAGAUGGGUUUUAACAUCUUGCCCAGGCUGGUCUCGAACUCCUGACCUCAAGUGAUCCACCUGCCCUGGCCUCCCAAAGUGCUGGGAUUACAGGCUUGAGCCGCCAUGUCCCUUGAUUAAUCAUCUCCAUGUUAAUUAUUGUCCUGUGCUAUAUAAUUCCUUUACAGAUGUCCGCAAGAAUUACUGAAUUAAAUGGUGACAUUUGCCGCCAUUAUUCAGAUUAAUGACAUACAGACCUUUUUAUGUUCCUUUUUUAUGUUAUCCUCACCUAAAACUCCUCUUAUGUACCCACCAUGGAUUCCCUGUGGUUCCCCAAACAUGCACUGGAUUUCUUUGCUCCUGUGGGUUUUCUCUACCUUGGAUGCCCCACCCUACCCUCUCUGGACAUUGGAAAUCUUGCCAUGCUCAAAGCCCAGCUUAGAACCAUCUCAUUCAUGAAGCCAUUCUUGAUCUUUUCCAGUCAAAAGGAAUCCCUUUCUCCCCUUAGCUAACUGGGGAGUUUGUCUAUCUUCCCAGUCAUUAUUUAUUGCCUGGCAUUUGUUUAAUGCUUUCAAUUUAUAGAACACUUUUACAUACAUAAUCUAUUAUCCUCACAAUGUCUGUUAUUAUCAUCAUUAUACAGAUAAAUAAACAGGAUCAUAAAAGGCACAGUUCCAGGCCAGAACUGUUAAUGCUCUCCUUCCUUACUUACAGCACUGCCAGGCCACUGAACAUUCCAUCUCAGUCCACCCAAACUCCACUAAAAGAAUGAUGUUAUAUGCCUGUAAUCCCAACAUUUUCGGAGGUGGAGGCAGGCAGAUCACUUGAGCCCAGGAGUUU
rnacentral:lncRNA from 1 species